rnacentral:lncRNA from 1 species
CCUCAACUGAAACAACUUAUGUCGGUUUCUGGCUGACCUGAUUGCUGAUAUUCAAGCAUGGCGCCUAGUUUAUUUAUUUAUAUCAGUUAUUCUACAUCGAUCUCUUACCAACAUGCCACUAUAUUUAUGUACAGUUGUCUAACAGCUGUCAUACAGCUCAACUGUAACUAUCUUUUAGUAAUAUUCCAGUCCAUUUGCCUCGUGGGCACCCCACGAUCUCUAUAUAGC